UUGGGCUCCCAAGCCGGCCGAGGUGCGAGGGAAGCUCUUAGCCGGCGCCUCCAUGUAGUGCUGAGGUCUCCGUGACGGCGGGCCGCGCAAGGCCCCGAAAGCCCGCUCUCCUAAACCCUCGGUGAGAGCCGAGCUGCCACAGAGCGUGUUCACAAAGGGUCACCACACACGGAGCUGCCCCUCCCCGUCUCCCUAAACCCCAUCUGCGAGGCCAGGGGCUUUUCCACCAGGAUUCUGGGUGUUUCUCCUCCUUCCCUCCCUCCCAGAUCUUCUAACGGUUUCCAGAUUCCCAGCUGGGGCUACCAUGCAGAUCAUGGAGCCACCGCCUGCGACAGGAAACCGCGGAGGAAGAGCCCCUGCUGCUGAUUGUCUGGAUUUCCACCCUGUGAACUCGGGCUCCCUGGGGACAACCAGGUGCAAUUGACAAGAUAAAGAACUGAAAAUGCCUGGAAGACAGCUUAAGGAUCUGGGAACUGUCUCUGCAAAGACCAUCAGAACCAUCUUUUCACUGAAAUAAAAUGACCCAGAGGAAAGAAGACCGGCAUGAAUUAAAAGGUGAAAUGUUUGUUUGUUUUUCCUCCUGAGACAAACUUUUGGAAUCAGAUCCCUCAGCCGCACACCUCUGCCGAAGUACGGAUCUGACUGUUCCAGCACCUUCGUUUUCUUCCCACGAUGAUGUUUGGGCACUGGGACACAUCACCCCUGCCCAGAAGGACAAGGUUCGAGCUUGCUCUCUCACACCGAGCAUCUCCCAGCUCUUCCUGGCAGACGGGCAUCCCGCAGACCCAGGUUCUCUGGUCCUAGCCCUUUUCUCUGCUGGGAAGGAGGAACCAUGCAGCCCCUUGGAGCAGGGGGCGGCCUCCAGCACAGGAGAGCGGCCUUGACGGUCUUGUCCAACAGGUUCCCCUGCUUUAUUUUCUCUUGCUUCUGCAGUGCCAAGAGGGGAGGACCGGAAUACUUGAGAUAUUUCCCCCUCCCAGUCUUCCUGGGGACUAAGCAUUCUGACCACCAGAUUCCCGGCAGAGGCAGCAGUGGAGUCUCUGGGAUGAACAGCCCUCCCAGCCUCCAUACCACUUCCACAGGCAGCUGUCUCCCUUCCCCACCCGGCAGGUGCUGCUAGAAUUCCAUCGACCUCAACAUUCCUACAGUGGCUGGAAUUGGUCGGGACGUCCAACCUUGAAGGGAAGGCAGCAAAGCGAACCAGCCUGGGUACUGCCCCUUGGACGACGCGCACCGUUCGAGUUCAGGGACUCAGCGCUCUGAGUAAGAAACUCAAAUCAGUUUAGCGCAGGACACCCCCCGGGCCAGCCUCCUGCCUCUGACAGCGGCACAAAAGGCUGUUCUGUGAGAAGACGUUGCUGCUCUUUGCCAUGUCAGCCUCAGGCUUGGAGGGUGACUCCACACGACAUGCUGAUUUUCCUUAACAGUGUGUUGUUUAUCUGGCCUUGUCUCCAACAUUUCUCUUUUGGGCCUCAGUCAUCUGUUGCAGUGUUUUUGUAUUAAAUAAUCUAAAGGAAAGGGUAUUAGUUAGGCUAGAAGUCAGGAGUCAGGGGUUCAAUCUGUAGCUCUGUCUUAAGGUGAUAUAUGACCUUGGGUAUUUACCUUCUCCAGGCCUUCAUGUAAAACACUGGGGGCUGGAUUUGAUUACAGCUAUGUUCUAAAA